CAUACUGAUAUAAACCCAAGAUCAGGACCAAGACAGGGCUCAAGGCAUUGAAACAUACAGAGAAAUAUUGGGGGAAACCUGCAGAUUUUAGAUGCUUACUGUAUUCACUGGCUGAAGAGUCAUCUGUGCGUACACCUCAUCAGUAUCCGGGUCUGCCUGAAAAAUCAAGAGACGACAUCUUUUCAGAAUUGAUGAUCGCGGGCGCGCCGUGUCAAACAGUUUGGACGACGGGCUGUUAGAUUACUUGCAAAGUGACGCUGUGCAGAAGACAUAUCAACUUUGAGGGAAGAUUGGGGUAGCUCGGUACGUGAGCUUCCACAUCCUUUUGCAUAGAAGCUGCAACCUGAACCAGACACAUACCAAGCCCAAUGCAGAAUCAGUGGAAGGUGCAGCAGGAAUCAGGACCAUAAAUGCAAGCAAUACAAAGCUAUACAUGGAUGCAUGUUGCAUGCACCAAACUUGAUAACAAGAAAACAGUACUCCUAUACUCUACAAGGCACCAAAAGCCAACAGAAGGAAAGGAAGCAAGUAGGCCCAGAGCUCCCAACAAUUCCUCCAAUAACCCAAGAAUACCACUGGCUUGAGAAAGCAAUUAGUAGCAAGCAAGUGUAGCCCUCCAAUCACAACUACUGAAAAUGCAACAUAUCCAUGAUA